ACCUCCACAUGGUAGUAGUCUUCAACACUUUAAAUAAAUGUAAACAUUGAUGGAUCUUCAGACCCUUAUUGUGUGUUACAACAGCGGUGAACAAGUGCAAUCUUUGGAGUGUAGUUAGAAAAUUUGAGAGAGACAUCAUCAGUGGUGGGAGACCAAGGGAGACGCUGGAAUUUGCCGAUCUGUUAAUAAGGACAAGACGGUGCCUAGUGCCUCGGUGGUUCCCUCUGCUCUAAGGGUCAGUAAGCGCUUUGGAGCCGUACAGGGAACACCCCUAUUUCUCCUUUGACCCUAACACGUUUUGACCGAAUUAUAUUCUCCGUGUCCACGUGCUGGGUCUCCUUAUCCUGUCAUCGCAUGAUUUUUUUCCUUAAGGGCGAUUACGGUAACUAUCAUUGUUUAGUCUGCCCACCACGCAUGUGCAUUAGGUUGCUGUAUCAAUAGACAUUUAUGUUUCACAUAUGGCUGCUGUACCUAUAUCCUGUGCCUAAUUUAAAACUUCCAGAAAGAUUAUACUUUAUGAUAUUAACAAAAUUAUAAUAAAUAAGUCAAAAUUACUUUAUCAAAAACAAUGAAAAGGGUAAAACUAUUAAUUAGAAGUAUUAAAAAUCACAAUACAGUACAGUAUAGCAUAUUCUGAUCUUAUACAGUAUUGCAGAUUAGUAAACACGGAAGUUUAUUAGUUCAACAUAUCCAAAAUUCAUAAGGAUUUUUUGGAGAAUGAAGUGCUGUACAUUUGACACUAAUAACCUAUGGUCAUCAUUCAUAAGCUAAAUUGCUGUUCUCUGUAAUAAUAAGACAGUGAAUACAGUACAGUAUUUUGCAUGAACUUCUUUGUUUGCAUUAGAGUUUAAUAGAAUAACCAAACCUAAUACCGUACAGCAACUAUAUACAGUAUAGAUUAUAUUUCAGUUAAGUUUGUUUGGAUAGGUUUGGUUUAGUUGGUUAAUUUUGCAUUUAAAAGAAGUUUUGGUUAAAUAUAGCAACAGGUCUGUUUUGAUAGCAUGUAGGACCAUAUUUACAGUAAGGUACUGGUGCAUAUUUCCAUAGCAGCCCCAAAAAAUCUUUGUUUUACCCUUCUUUGGAAAGGGGAGAACUCCAAUUGAGUGCCUUUAUGUAGGACACUACUGCGCAUGUCAUUGUGGAGUUGUGUCUCUGAUAAAUUAUAGGGGGCAGCCAAAACAACCGAGUGUCCACUAAGGACCUCCAUGUUGACUGAAUCAAUAAAGGCCAUGUACACUGUACAGGUCACAGAGCUAUUCUCUACACUUCUUGUGUAUCUGGUAGACAGUAAAGAAAAUGUCAGUGGUGCUGCAAGAUAGUCUAAAGGAAAUUUUCUGGCUCGGGAAGGCAUCUGUUAAGGGGAACUUGGCCGAGAAUCUUGCGGGCUAUGGACAACAGAGAUCUCACAAUGAUUGCUGCAAACUUUCCCCCUUGUUCAUAUGUACAGUACUGUACAUUUUCUAGGUCUUUGAGGGAUAUCCUUCAGUUCUCAUAUACAGUAUAUAUUCAAUGGGAAAGUGGAAGCAGCUGACAGAUAUUAGUGGCUACCACACAAGAUGGAGGGUUGUUGGGUGGACCAGCGCUGGAUGCUGUAGGAUCUACUCGGUAAUCUGGACAGAUAUUUCGUUCUUUCAUUUAAUCUGGCAGUGCUCUCACCAGUCCUGAAGAAUGCUAUUUUGUUCUUCAAUUUGGGUGUUACUGUCAGGUGAGUGAAGGGGGCUAUGUCAUUAAUAGUUGGUAAUGAAAAUUAACUACAGUAUAUAACUUAUAACAUGUAGAGAAUUAUGCAUACAUUUACCAAAUACCAGAGAUUAAAUUCGUAUUUUAUGACACUGAACAUUUAUCACUAACUCAUGUAAUUAUAGGUUGACCUCAUUUGUACUGUAUCGGGUUGUGACCCACAGAAAAGGGUAAAUUUAUAGUAGUUCACAUAACUCUGUUAGAAAGUUAAAACUAUGUUUUUCUAGUGAUUUUUUUUUUUUUUGAUUGGUUCUGACCUUGAUUUCUGUCGGAAAUUUAUUUAUUUUUUAUUGCUCCUUUUACCCCCAACAAGAUAGGGGAUCCUGUUAGGAACCGGAGUUUUGGGCGGGGUAGAGAAACAAUCAUUUUCCGUCAAAAAUCAUGGCCAAGUCAGUACAAAACGCACCAAAAAACACAAGAAAAACAUAUAAACCUAACCUUUUUAUAGAUGACCUAACCUAACCUGACCAAACCUAACUCACAGUGUUUUUACAUAACCAGACUCUCACCAUAUGAGGGAAGAUUAAUGGAAUAAGAUAGAGAAAGAUUUGGCAUGCGCUAUCUCCGUUAUUAUACGUUUCCGACAGUAUUGUAAUCGAAGAAAAUUAUCCUAAAGUUUUUUCAAAUAUGAUAAUAGAUUUGGGGUAGGAAUGUUGUGUGAACUACUAUAAAAACCCCAGAAAAGGCUGGUACAGUACAUGUAUAAGAGAAAUAAUGGUACACUAUACGUAGAAACAAAAAUAGGUUUCCUUAAUGAAGUCUCUUUUGAUUAUGACUCUGUACUACAGUAUAUUGUUUUCAUACAUAUACUGUUAGUAAUUUAAUUAUUAAGUACUGUUAUAGUAUUGAAAAACAAAAAACAGUACAGUAUUAAGCAUUAUACUCUACUCACCAAUACAUUCUCUUAUUUUUUGUAUGAGAAAAAGUCUGGCAUGGAGGAUUUUGUGCGUACUCUUGAACAGAGGGUUGUAGGGCCCUCAGUGGUAUCAAGCCACUGCAUGAAUGAUUACCUCAGAUAGAAUUAGUAUAAUUAUUGUUACCCCUCCCUGACCCAUUGUUUCAAAGAAGUAAGUGACGUUAGAUUGCCUGACUUGAACGUUGGGAUACAUGCCAUUGUGGUGCACAGGGUGACCUAGAAUGUUAUUAGGGAUGACAAACCAGUCUUCUAAAAGUUAUUCUCUUAUUUAUGCUUUAAUAUUUGCUCCCCAGACAAGAGGUAAGGUAUAGUGGCUACUGGCUAAGACACACAGUCUAGGAAUGGUACACAAGUAAUGGCUGGUGUUCUGGAGGCAUUUUUACAGUACAGUACAUGGCUCCAGAGAUCUGGUUUUCCUGUGAUGCAUUGCAUGUGCAGAAGAUGGAAAGCAUGAUGUGCAGUGGUGUACAGGUGAAUCUUAGCCCAAGGAUAAAUGAAAUUUUGGUACAUACGUGUAUGUGAAUAAUUAGUGUAAAUUUGCCGAGAGAAUGAUAGUUGUGGUUAGUAAUGUGUAUACAGGUAGUAAUAUACAGUACUGCACAGUACUGUACUAUCAUAACUUGAUAGAUGAAUCAUACGCAAUAAAAGUUUAAAAAAAUCAUCUGCGUGUAUUACAGUGCUGAAUUAAAUGACAGUUAUAUUUAACGUACUGUAUGUGUAUAACACAAUAACCCUUAUGAGAAUUUUGGGGUAAGGAUAAACAAAUAUACAUGCGGUUACUUUAAAACCUUUUAAUUUUUGCUCAUCAGUUAAACAAAGAACACCAUACCAAAUAUUUAUCCAAUAGUAAACGAAUCAAAGGAAGUACGUAUAUGUGAGUUUGUACUUCAACUGGACCAAAUAUUAUGAUUUUUAUUAACAACGUCACCAAGUUUCAUGCUUUAUUAUGUUACAGUUGCGGAAAUGUGUUCCUACAUCUCCUGGAAUAACUCUCGUCUCCAAAUGGCAACAUUGCAAUAGUACGGGUAGUACUGCAUCACUAUUUAUGAAUGAAUAGAUAUUAGUUGUGGAUAGAUUUGCUGUAGGUUACCACAGGGGGUGUAGGAACACAUUUCCAUAACUGUACAAGUUUUUUAUUUGCAUAGCAAUGUAUACAGAGUGUGUACAGUAUGUUGUACUAAUGUGGUUUAGAAAUCAUCCUGUGUUUUUUUUAGAAUUUCAAGAGUUUGGAAAUACAGGCACAAUUUUAAAUUUGUUCAAAUCACUAUUGUAAGGAUGUGUACAGUACUGUAGUAUACAGUAAAAACAGAUGCAAUAUUUAAUCCAAAUAUUUUGAAUACAUUUUGGAAAAAAAUUGAAUUUACUAUAUUUGCUAUGCAGGUACAGGUAUUAAAUUGACAUAGCAGUACCCAUACCAUUUUUGACAGCAGAUAGACAUGAACUGAGCAAACUUUGUAAGGUUAUUUAGUACAAUUGUACAGGUUUUUCUCCCUAACUCAUUAAAACUAUUGUAUAGUUUGACUAAUCCAAACAAGUGCAUUUGGUACACUUGUCAUAAACAGUCAAUGGACAUCAGACAUGAAUUAAAAUGUGUUGCAGUUGA